UACAGAGGUCUCAAGCGUUGUUCGGAUUCAUUGGGCGUAAAGGGUGCGUAGGUGGCGCCGUAAGUCAGGUGUGAAAUUUCGGAGCUCAACUCCGAAACUGCAUUUGAUACUGCGGUGCUUGUGGACUGGAGAGGAGACUGGAAUUCACGGUGUAGCAGUGAAAUGCGUAGAUAUCGUGAGGAAGACCAGUGGCGAAGGCGGGUCUCUGGACAGUUCCUGACACUGAGGCACGAAGGCCAGGGGAGCAAACGGG
rnacentral:rRNA from 1 species